UACGUAGGGCGCGAGCGUUGUUCGGAAUUACUGGGCGUAAAGGGCUCGUAGGCGGCCAACUAAGUCAGACGUGAAAUCCCUCAGCUUAACUGGGGAACUGCGUCUGAUACUGGAUGGCUUGGAUUUGGGAGAGGGAUGCGGAAUUCCAGGUGUAGCGGUGAAAUGCGUAGAUAUCUGGAGGAACACCGGUGGCGAAGGCGGCAUCCUGGACCAAUAUUGACGCUGAGGAGCGAAAGCCAGGGGAGCAAACGGG
rnacentral:rRNA from 1 species